rnacentral:rRNA from 1 species
CUACGGAGGGUGCAAGCGUUAUCCGGAAUCAUUGGGUUUAAAGGGUCCGUCGGCGGGCUAAUAAGUCAGGGGUGAAAUCCCACAGCUUAACUGUGGAACUGCCCUUGAUACUGUUGGUCUUGAGUUACAGUGAAGUGGUUAGAAUGUGUAGUGUAGCGGUGAAAUGCAUAGAGAUUACACAGAAUACCGAUUGCGAAGGCAGAUCACUAACUGUAUACUGACGCUAAUGGACGAAAGCGUGGGGAGCGAACAGGAUUAGAAACCCUAGUAGUCC